UACGUAGGGGGCUAGCGUUGUCCGGAAUCAUUGGGCGUAAAGAGCGCGUAGGCGGCUGGAAUAGUCCGGUGUGAAAUCCACAGGCUUAACCUGUGAAUGCCGCUGGAAACUGUCUGGCUAGAGUCCGGAAGGGGCGAGUGGAAUUCCUGGUGUAGCGGUGAAAUGCGCAGAUAUCAGGAAGAACACCAAUGGCGAAGGCAGCUCUCUGGGACGGUACUGACGCUGAGACGCGAAAGCGUGGGGAGCGAACAGG
rnacentral:rRNA from 1 species